UGGGGAAUAUUGCACAAUGGGCGCAAGCCUGAUGCAGCCAUGCCGCGUGUGUGAAGAAGGCCUUCGGGUUGUAAAGCACUUUCAGCGGGGAGGAAGGCGAUAAGGUUAAUAACCUUGUCGAUUGACGUUACCCGCAGAAGAAGCACCGGCUAACUCCGUGCCAGCAGCCGCGGUAAUACGGAGGGUGCAAGCGUUAAUCGGAAUUACUGGGCGUAAAGCGCACGCAGGCGGUCUGUCAAGUCGGAUGUGAAAUCCCCGGGCUCAACCUGGGAACUGCAUUCGAAACUGGCAGGCUAGAGUCUUGUAGAGGGGGGUAGAAUUCCAGGUGUAGCGGUGAAGUGCGUAGAGAUCUGGAGGAAUACCGGUGGCGAAGGCGGCCCCCUGGACAAAGACUGACGCUCAGGUGCGAAAGCGUGGGGAGCAAACAGG
rnacentral:rRNA from 1 species